rnacentral:lncRNA from 1 species
ACAAAUAAAAUAAUUAGAUUGAUUGUUGAUUAAGUCAAACGAUUUGGGUCUUUAAACCGAAUGACACCACCCACCAUUUUUGGCAAAUUCCAUAUCCCUCAAAAUGGAAUCCGGGAGAUUUCAAAGAAAGCUCCUAGUGGGUUACGGGAGGCUCACUAUUACCAAGCCCACCUCACGAUGAUACGAUGUCGGCUAGCAACAAUAAUAAUGAGAGGGUACAAGUACCCAUUCACAACAACCUCUUGUGAUUACCCAUCUUUUUGGCCUCUAGAGAAAAAUACCUCACGAUGAUACGAUGUUGGCACCUUUUCUCUUAGUUAAGUUUUGUCCCACUAUGCCGGUUUAGGAAGGGGUUCAAGCAUGACCUCACGAUGAUACGAUGUCGACCACACUCGUUGCCUACCUUAACCUCAUCAAAUGUUUUAAAUAAACUCCUCCUGAAUAUAAGCAUGCACUUUGUCACUUCCCCAUGAUAGGGUGAAGGCGGUGUACAAGUCAUAAACGCUUGGAGCCUACCACGGUGGAAGGCCAUGAAAAAGUGUUCUAAGCACUCUUACGCUUACAACUUAAUAUUGUUUGGUUGAGGGAUUUUAAGGUCUCAUCAAUUUUAUUUAUUUAAUCAUAUUCAAAUAAAUUGUCCUAUUAUAACUAUUAGUCCAAAGUUAAUGAAAUUAGUAGCAUAUGAUAUCCCCACUAUUCGUUUUCAUAAAACAAAUCAAAAUCAAAACAUCUUUCAUAAUAUUGGAGAUAUAUAUAACUACUAAUUGAAUUCAUUAUAGUUUAGUAGCGUAUGAUACUUCCACUAUUUGUUUUAAGAAAAACAAAUCAAUAUCAAAAACGAAUUUUUCAAAUAUUGGAAGUAACUACUACUACUACGGUUUUUGCAUUCCUUUGAAAUUGAACUUUAUAGUUAUCUUAGGCUCUUGGAUAACCAUGGACUUAUUAGGUUAUUGCAACAACGAGCCAACAUUGUUGAAUAUAAACUCGGGGAGGUUAUGUCAAUUUAAUUACGUGCUUAUCAAUCCAAUUAAAACCAUUUUCAUUGAGCCAUUAGAAAUGAAAGACAAUCAUCCAUUGCUAAUUUGGGCAUUGGACCCUUUUAAUCUUUAAUCUCAUGUCAAAACCCUCUUUUAAUUAUGUCUCCUUACCAAUAGUUAAAGAAACUCUAGUCUAGCACUAGAGGGAAUCAACUAACGAAUAGAGAUUAAGAAGUAAUAAGAAUUACAAACCGAUUUGUACAAAUUCCUAUAAAUUACAUGUACUAAAAGGGGAGAGAUAGAUUAACGUCAAACGUGACAAGGUCCAAUUAAACAGUAAUUAAAACACAUUCCCAAGGUUCAAACAAUUUGAUUUUAGCGCCUUAUCAUAUAGCUCAAUUAUCGUUUAAGGCAUAAGUCCAAAAUCAUCCAUUUCAUAACUACUUAAACACAUUUAAAUAAUCAUAAAGAAAUGCAACAUAGACAUUUAGAUUUAGUGCAUAUGGGCAUAAUAUAAUUAUGAGUUUAAACAACUAACAAAAUUAAAAUCAAAUAUUUUAACUUUCUAGUUAGUAAGGGCCUAAAUGUAAAUAUGAAAAGUUAGGGGUAAAAAUGUAAAUACUCAAAAGUAUAAAAUAUCAACUUUUCAAAGAUUACAAAAGACCCCUCAAGUGGAUAAAUCCACUAGGGUGGCCGGCCAUUAAAGGGGAAGGGGAAGUCUCAUCCACAUGCACAAAUUUAAUGCAAAGUAAAAGAAAUCACAAUUUUGCUUGUCACUUGGUUUGGCAUUGAAUGGCUUUAAUGAAAAAAUUUGAUGGAAAUCUCCUAGACAAGUCUAGGGUUUUAAUAAGUUUUAAUAUAGUUAUGGAUGGUAAGAACAUCACCCAAAACCAUAAAACCAUGCAUGAAAACCAAAUAAAACCAUUUUCACCCAAAACCCAAUUAUGAACACCAAGAACAAAACCAUGAAUUUUGUUCAUGACUUAUUCUUCAUUCAUGCAUACAAAACAACUUUUACAUGCAUAUCUUUUACAACUCUUGAUUUAUAUUUUUCAACCAUUGAAAAACAAAAGAUAAACAUACUUUCAAAUGAAGAAAUAAUAUGUCAUACUAGUCUUAAACUCAUUUUAUGCAUACAAAACACUUUUGCAAACAUAUCUUUCUCAACUUUUGACUAACAUUUUUCAACUAUUGAAAAACAAAAGAUAAACAUACUUUGAAUGAAACAAUAAUUAUGUCAUGCAUAAUAUUAAUACCCAUAUGCAUAAAAUCCAAAAGGACACAUUAUACAUAAACCAUUGGCUCUGAUACCACUUGAAGGGAAAAUUAUGAGAUUCUAGAAUGGGAUUUCAAAUAGACUAUCAUGCAUAUACAAAUCAUAUUGAAUAUACGAAAGCAGCGGAAGCAUUUAUAACAUAUUAUCAAAGCUAUAGUCAUGCAAAUCCCCUUCAAGGUUCAUAGGUCUAUAUAUAAUGCAUCAAAGCAUUUUAAAGAACCAAGAACAAAGUGAAGGUUAGUCUUAUACCUCUUGAUCUAGACUUGAGACCAAGGAUGGACCACCUCCAGCCCUUUGCUCCUUGAAAUCCUUGAGCCUAGCUUCCCUCCUUGCCUCCUCCACUUUGAUAGAAUGAGUGCU